AUACUGCAAGUCGAGCGGAGAUUUGAAAAGCUUGCUUUUCAAUCUUAGCGGCGGACGGGUGAGUAACACGUGGGCAACCUGCCCUUGAGACGGGGAUAACUCCGGGAAACCGGAGCUAAUACCGGAUAACACAUAUCUUCGCAUGAGGAUAUGUUAGAAGGUGGCUUUUAGCUACCACUCAAGGAUGGGCCCGCGGCGCAUUAGCUAGUUGGUGAGGUAACGGCUCACCAAGGCGACGAUGCGUAGCCGACCUGAGAGGGUGAUCGGCCACACUGGGACUGAGACACGGCCCAGACUCCUACGGGAGGCAGCAGUAGGGAAUCUUCCGCAAUGGACGAAAGUCUGACGGAGCAACGCCGCGUGAGUGAUGAAGGUUUUCGGAUCGUAAAGCUCUGUUGUUAGGGAAGAACAAGUACCUGUUGAAUAAGCAGGUACCUUGACGGUACCUAACCAGAAAGCCACGGCUAACUACGUGCCAGCAGCCGCGGUAAUACGUAGGUGGCAAGCGUUGUCCGGAAUUAUUGGGCGUAAAGCGCGCGCAGGCGGUUCCUUAAGUCUGAUGUGAAAGCCCACGGCUCAACCGUGGAGGGUCAUUGGAAACUGGGGAACUUGAGUGCAGAAGAGGAGAGCGGAAUUCCACGUGUAGCGGUGAAAUGCGUAGAGAUGUGGAGGAACACCAGUGGCGAAGGCGGCUCUCUGGUCUGUAACUGACGCUGAGGCGCGAAAGCGUGGGGAGCGAACAGGAUUAGAUACGCUGGUAGUCCACGCCGUAAACGAUGAGUGCUAAGUGUUAGAGGGUUUCCGCCCUUUAGUGCUGCAGCAAACGCAUUAAGCACUCCGCCUGGGGAGUACGGUCGCAAGACUGAAACUCACAGGAAUUGACGGGGACCCGCACAAGCGGUGGAGCAUGUGGUUUAAUUCAAAGCAACGCGAAGAAA
rnacentral:rRNA from 1 species